CUUUCGCUCGGAAGUUCCUGCUCCGUUUGGCAACGCUCUAAAUCGCCAGUCACCUGCCCUUACCGGUCGUUAGUGUCUCUGCUGCAGCUGUUGUCGCGCGGUGUGAUCUGCACUGGUCGUGGGAAUCUUAGGCAGGACUUGGCAAGACCCAGGAAAGCUAGAAAUGGACUCCGUGGCCAUUGACGAUGUGGCUGUAAACUUCACCCUGGAGGAGUGGGCUUUACUGGAUCCUUCACAGAAGAAACUGCAUAAAGAUGUAAUGCAGGAAAUCUUCAGGAACCUGGACUCGAUAGGUAAAAAAUGGGAAGAUCAUAACAUUGAAGAUCAGUACAAACACCAGGGGAGAAAACUAAGAAGUCAAAUGGUGGAAAUACUCUGUGAAAAUAAAGAAGAAAGUCAACGUGGAGAAAAUUCCAGCCUUACCCCAAAUCUCAGUCUGAACAAGAAAAAUGCUGGAGUGAAACCACAUGAAUGCAGUGAAUGUGGAAAAGUUUUCGUGAAUCGUUCAUCCCUUAAUAGGCACAUCAGAUGUAAUACUGGACAUAAACCAUAUGAGUAUUCGAAAUGUGGAGAAAAGCCAUAUCAAUGUAACAUAUGUGGGAAAACUUACAUUUCUUCAGGUUCAUUUCAAAUACAUCAAAGGAUGCACACUGAAGGGAAAACCUAUAAUUGUAAGGAAUGUGGGAAAGGUUUCUAUUUUCGCACAUCCUUUCAAAUACAUGAAAGGAUUCACACAGGGGAAAAACAAUACGAAUGUGAGGAAUGUGGGAAAGCCUUCAUGUGGUUCACAGGCUUUCGAAGCCACAUGGCAAUGCACACUGGAGGUGGACCUUAUAAGUGUAAACAGUGCGGAAUAGUCUUUAGAUAUCAUCGUAAUUUUCAGGUACAUGAAAUGACUCACAUAGGAGAGAAAGCCUAUGAAUGUAAGCAAUGUGGUAAAGCUUUUAAUUCUCAUCGAGGUUUCCAGGUACAUCAAAGGUAUCACAAAAGAGAGAACCCCUAUGAAUGUAAACAAUGUGGAAAAGUCUUUAAAUAUCAUCAUACUUUUCAAGCACAUGAAACAACUCACACAGAAGAUAAAUCCUAUGAAUGUAAGCAGUGUGGUAAAACUUUCAGUUCUCAUCGAGGCUUCCAAGUACAUGAAAGAUAUCACAAAGAAGAGAAACCCUGUGAAUGUGAGAAAUGUGGUAAAGCUUUCAGUUCUCAUCGGAAUUUCCAAAUACAUGCAAGAAAUCACAAGGGAGAGAAACCCUAUGAGUGUAAGCAAUGUGGUAAAAGUUUCAGUCGUCAGCGAAGUCUCCAACUACAUGAAAGAAAUCACAAGGGAGAGAAACCCUAUGAAUGUAAAUGUGGAAAGGCCUUUUUUUGUUCCUAUUCCUUAAAAUUACACAAAGAAACCCAUGCUGAAGAGAAACUCUAUGAAUGCAAGGAAUGUGGGAGAGCCCUGUCCAGUGACCACAGCUUAAAGAUACACCAGCGACUGCACACAGGAGAGAAACCCUAUGAAUGUAAAGAAUGUGGGAAAGCCUUCAUGUAUCCUUCAGGAUUUCAGGCACACAUAAAAAUACAUGCUGGAAAUAGACCUUAUAAAUGUAAGGAAUGUGGGAAAGCCUUUAUUUAUCCAUCAGGUGUUCGAGAACACAUGAAAAUACAUACUGGAAAUAGACCAUAUCAAUGUAAGGAAUGUGGGUUAGCAUUUUAUGUUCAUUGUACAUUACGCAAGCAUGAAAUGACUCACACUGGAGAGAAGCCCCAUCAAUGUGAACAAUGUGGCAAAGCCUUCAGAGAUUACAGUUACUUACAAAUACACAAAAGAGCUCAUACUGGAGAGAAACCCUAUGAAUGUAAGCAGUGUGGUAAAGCUUUUUUUUCUCAGCAAGGUUUUCGAAUACAUGAAAGAAGUCACACUGGAGAGAAACCAUAUGCAUGUGAAGAAUGUGGGAGAACCUUCAGUUCUCCUAGUUCUUCCCUAAGGCAUAAAAAGACUCACCGGAUAAGUCCUGUUGAAUGUAAAUAGGGUAGGAAAGAUUUCAAUUAAUUGACAGCCUUACAUGUGAAAAACAAAAAAGAGAAACCACUCUUGGAGCACAUGAGUGGCCAGACAUACUUUUGUGAGUAACAUGAGAAAGCUUGAUGUGUGAAUCAAUCCAUGUGUACCAUCAGAUUUAUUUAUAAAUGUUAUAAGUACAUUUUUAUCAAGCCUCCUUAAAGUGCAUUGAUGGUCUGUGGAUUUGUACUAAUUGUUUCCAGAGCUGAGAUAAUUCUGAGUCAUUAUUCAACAAUAAUACAUAAGAUUAUAGGUAGUGCUUUUUUUAAAAAAUCAGUGAAUAGUAUUUUAUUUUUCCAUUUCGAAGCCUGUGGGAUUCAUAGGUGAAUUGAAGUGUGUUUCUCAUAUGCAAUUUGGUUCAAUUUUUUGAUGUUCUAUUUGUUGUGUGUUAAGGGGACAUUGAAAAAAAGAAAGUUUGGUUUUUAUUGGGAUUUUCCUUCUGGCUUUGUGACAGUUCCUGGAUAUCUUUAGUCCAUUGUAUAUAUUCUAUUUUUCUUAUUGUAUUGAGAAAGCUCAUUUGGGAGAGUGGUGGGUGUAGGAUCUUUUUUUCAUUUUCCACACUAAUAAACCAUUGGAAUGAGA